CUUGUUUGCGUGCAGCCCGUAGGGCUGUAGUGCAUUCCUUCGAGGCAAACAGGAUUUCAGUAUGCCAGAACUCAUGCGAUUAGACCGCGAUUUCUUGCAUUCAGUAGCCGGGCUGGAGCUCGGUCCUUGGAUCAGAGCAGCAUCAACCAAUGCAGCAGCAAGCGCUUAGUACACCAGCGACAGCAGCGGCAGAGGAGCGGCCCACACCGGGCGAGUCCAGAGGUUUGUGGUGUCUGUGCAGGGUCCGCGGCCGGCCGACAAAUGGGAUGUGCCGCAUUGUAUUUGAGCGUAAUAGUACUUUUUCCCGUUAGUCCAUGGCACUGGGUGACAGGCCCCCGGCUGGUGCCCGGGUCAACAAACUUCCGGAGGGUGCCCGGGUGAACAAACCUCCCGGCUGGUGCCCGGGUGAACAAACCUCCGGUUGGGCAUGCCGGGUGAAAAACGCCUCCGGCUGGUGCCCGGAUGAACAAACCUCCGGCUUAGCAUCCGGGUGAAAAACUGCCGGCGUACGCGGUACGCACUAACAUGCUCUAGCUGUGUGAUGCCUCAGAAUAACCGGCCUAUCAUCGGCAGCAGCAAAGAAUGGGUACAACGGGUCGGCGUGCAGGCGGCAGGAUCACCAGCUGCAGCGGUGCAACCUGCUGCAGCUUGCGCGGCAGGGGUCCCAGGGCGCAGCAGCAGCAACGGCAAGGCAUGACGGGGCGGCGGCCGAGAUGGGCGGUGGCUAGCGGGGGCUGAAGCCGCCACCGCCGCGACACAGUGCCGCUGUCGGCACGGAUGCAGACUAGAGGGAUGGCUCCUGGCUCUCAGGACGGAAUAGCUGUGAGCAGGUUCGGUGGAUUCCUGAGCCCCAGUUUGCUCCUGUAGAGGCAACUUAGCCCUGGCUAUAGUGUCCCUGUCAGGGCCCUUUCCU
rnacentral:lncRNA from 1 species